rnacentral:rRNA from 1 species
AACGCGAAGAACCUUACCUGGGUUUGACAUCCUCGGACCGGUACAGAGAUGUACUUUUCGUAGCAAUACGACCGGGAGACAGGUGCUGCAUGGCUGUCGUCAGCUCGUGUGGUGACAUGUUGGGUUAAGUCCCGCAACGAGCGCAACCCUUGUCUUUAGUUGCCAGCAUUCAGUUGGGCACUCUAAAGAGACUGCCGUGGUUAACACGGAGGAAGGUGGGGAUGACGUCAAGUCCUCAUGGCCUUUAUAUCCAGGGCGACACACGUGAUACAAUGGUCGGUACAGAGGGAUGCGAAGUGGUGACACGGAGCAAAUCUCAAAAAGCCGAUCUCAGUUCGGAUUGGAGUCUGCAAUUCGACUCCAUGAAGUUGGAAUCGCUAGUAAUCGCGGAUCAGCACGCCGCGGUGAAUACGUUCCCGGGCCUUGUACACACCGGUAUCUC